UACGUAGGGUGCAAGCGUUGUCCGGAUUUAUUGGGCGUAAAGAGCUCGUAGGCGGUCUGUCGCGUCGAAUGUGAAAACCCGGGGCUCAACUCCGGGCUUGCAUUCGAUACGGGCAGGCUAGAGUUCGGUAGGGGAGUCUGGAAUUCCUGGUGUAGCGGUGAAAUGCGCAGAUAUCAGGAGGAACACCGGUGGCGAAGGCGGGACUCUGGGCCGAUACUGACGCUGAGGAGCGAAAGCGUGGGGAGCGAACAGG
rnacentral:rRNA from 1 species